GAUGAACGCUGGCGGCGUGCCUAAUACAUGCAAGUCGAGCGAACAGAUGAGGAGCUUGCUCCUCUGACGUUAGCGGCGGACGGGUGAGUAAAACGUGGAUAACCUACCUAUAAGACUGGGAUAACUUCGGGAAACCGGAGCUAAUACCGGAUAAUAUAUUGAACCGCAUGGUUCAAUAGUGAAAGACGGUUUUGCUUUCACUUAUAGAUGGAUCCGCGCCGCAUUAGCUAGUUGGUAAGGUAACGGCUUACCAAGGCAACGAUGCGUAGCCGACCUGAGAGGGUGAUCGGCCACACUGGAACUGAGACACGGUCCAGACUCCUACGGGAGGCAGCAGUAGGGAAUCUUCCGCAAUGGGCGAAAGCCUGACGGAGCAACGCCGCGUGAGUGAUGAAGGUCUUCGGAUCGUAAAACUCUGUUAUUAGGGAAGAACAAAUGUGUAAGUAACUAUGCACGUCUUGACGGUACCUAAUCAGAAAGCCACGGCUAACUACGU
rnacentral:rRNA from 1 species